UGCUCUAACUCCCGUAACACGGUCGAUGAGCACGGGAACGGGCCGAUGCUUUACACUACGGGCCGAAAACCCCACGCCGGUGUCCGUUUGGAAAUGGUAAUUAAAUAUUUUAUUAAAUAAAAAUUUUAAUAUAUAUUUAUAUAUUUAUAUAUUUUGACUUUCUUAAAUGUUUUUAGGCCAAAGAGACGGGAGGUUUUCCGUUUCUUGUGGAACUUUACGAGAAGACCCACAAGAACAAGGCGGGCGUAUUUCUAGAUGGCAAGUCUGAGCAAAUUUACAACGACUUGGUUGCUCGGGUUGAAGACCGCCAGACCCAGCUGACCCAACAGUCCACCGAAGGAUUACCCGUCACCUUAUCCACACUUGAAGUGGAUAAGAUUUACGAGGAGAUUGUCCCUAAAAAAAAGAGACGGACGUUGGGGAUUGGUUCCGUCAACGAUGUUCUGAGAGCGACAUCGUCUUAUGGUCAGCAAAGCGACGGGAUGAUGAAGUCUCUCAACUGCGUAGAGAGUCCGAUGAGCUGCGUAGAGAGUCUACUGAGCAGCGUCACGAGUUGAGCUCGACGCGAUCUGCGUUCACAGCUCGUGUGGGUGGACUCGAGGGCUUCUUGGACGUUGUAGCUGCCACAAAUUCGGAAUAGGAGACCUUGUUGAGGACCAUGCGACAACAAAAUCCUAUUCCAGGCGAGUCAUCAUCCGACACACAUGCCGAGGCGGAUGUAGCGGCGAGGAGUGAUGAAUUCUAAUGGGCGAUGAACGACUCUUAGUUCUUUUUUAUUCGGUUCUUGUAUUAUAAAUUCAAAAAUUAUUUAUAUAUAAAAAUUUUUGGUUUUUGAUCUUUUUAGAAUUUUAAUUUUAUUAAAAAAUUAAAUAAUUUUAAUUAUUUUUAAUAAUAUUUUAAUAUUUCUGUAAAAUAAUGAAACGAAGCAAAUUCAUAGCUAAUGUUGCGACUUCUUUACGUGGAAGAUUAACGAGUUCUUUACGAGGAAGAAUUUACAAGGAAAUGACGUGGAAAAGUAUAUGUGUUCUUUACGAGGAAAACUUUCAAGGUAUUUACGUGAACUUUACGAGGAUAUAUUUUCGAGUUAUUUACGUGUGUUUUACGAGAAAAUGAGAAACUCGUUUCGAGGUAUUUAUGAGGAAACUUAGCGGCGUCCUUACGUGUUCUUUACGACGAAAUGCUUUUCUUCGUUUUUACGACGAAAUCAUUUCGUCGCUAUAUUACGACGAAUUAGCGAGGAAAUAUGCGUUACGACAAACGUUUAACGACGAAACGGGUUUCCUCGAAAAUUCUUCGUAAACUUGCUUUUACGACGAAUUCACGAAGAAAACCGCCCUCGUAUAUCUUUUGUUUUCUUGUAGUGACCUUAUCAUGAACACACCAAAAAGCGACGUUGUUUAUCUUCCCGAAGUUUCCAAACGAGUUUACACUGCCGCCGCAGAGUUCAUAAGAUUUGUCGAUUACGUAUUGGGUUUUACUGAAAUUAAAGAUUCUAACCUUUUUACAAAUAUUCUCAAGUCGAUGUUUUGGUGCUCGUUCGAAACUGGUGGAAUUCUGUCAAGCUUUGGAAACAAGACAUGAAUAUCUGGUCAUGAAUUUUCUUGUCACUGGGGGAUAUGUAGAAUCUGCUGAGAAAUUUCAAAUGGAGUCUGGAACGAAACUCAUUAUUUCUUGAUUCUAAUUGAGUUUAGUUCCUCAGAUUAUUUUUCUGCCUUUUAUUUUCUUAUGUAAAACAGCAAAAAUAGAUCUUACAAUCAGCAUAUAUCGCAUGGCUGUUAGAAGAGAUGUUCAAAACGAAAAUGUUCAAAUGCUAUUGAAAAGUUAACGGUUUGAAUCCUGAGGCAUCAAUGCCUUCUUCGUAUGCAUAUUCUCUCUUCUUGUGUGGUUAGUGAGAUAUCAAAAAACCAAGUCUGAUUCUUCUUGGAAUCCAUAUAUGUGUUGCUAUUGUGGUGGAUUGGGACGGUGGUGUACGUUAGAAGUUGUGGAUAUUGUGCAAGUGUAUAUCUUCAGUUAGGUGUAUAUGUGGAUAUCAUGAGUAUGAUGUAAGCAUGGAUAUUGUGAACUGAUUUGAUGUACACAUGGAUACCGAUGGAUAUUGUGAGAAUGGUGUACUCAUGGAUAUUGUGAAUUGAUGUACACAUGGAUACCGAUGUACAUGUGGAUAGUGAAUAUCACAUAUCAUGAGAAUGGUGUACGCAUUGAUAUUGUGAACUGAUGUACACAUGGAUAUCAAUGUACAUGUGGAUAGCAAAUAUAUGUACAUAAGGAACAAAAAGUGUACAUGUGGAUACUUAUUGACGUAUACAAAUUAAAAAUGUGAGCAAGCCAUGUAAUACAAAACAUGUACAACUUUUUUUUUGUAACACAUGGAACAUGGGAAACAUAAAGUUGGCUUUAUUUCAUCAGAGGGUUUUAUAGACUUUAACCAUAAAAAAACUACCGUGGUAGCAGAAAGUGAUCCUCUAUGUAAUAAAAUGAUGAAAACUACCCUAUAAUGUAAAUCACUAGAUAUAUUGACUGACAUAUGUCGUACUAAGAAUUGAUUGGCAUCAAAUGCAUAUGUCACCAUGAGUCAUUAAUAUAAGAACUUGGCAUCUCUCGUUAUCUUAAGGAACUUUACAAUAAACUAGGUUCGUUCCCGGGCUACGCCCGGGUUAUCUUAUAUGAAAAUGUUGAACCAAAAUAUCAUAUUAAAUUUUGGUGUUGAUUCUUUGAACGCAAAAAAGUGUGUUGUAUAUCGAGUUUACGCAAAUGUUUAAAAGCCAAAAAAGCUGUAAGUAAAGUAGAUAAUGGAGGAAGCAGAUUAAGUCUUUCGCAUAUCAGAAUUUUUUUGAGGGCAUGAGAAAGAAAGGACCUGAAAUUGGAUAAGAAUAGUUAGUCAGCAUACGUUUAGUUGAAUAUAGUAGUAUUUGUUUUUAUAUUUAAAGUUUUGUACCUGGCUUAGGUGGGGUAAACCUAUGUGUAAGUCCCUUCUUUAUUGGCUUGUAUCAUCGCUUGGUCGAUAUUUUCGAGAUAGUUAAUCUGUGAAUAUAAUAUUUUAUCAGAUUUCUGAAAAAAUGGGAGGAAAAAAUUAUUUAUUUAAAUUACCUGUAUCGGGAUGAAAGCCUCUGAAUAUUUCUUUGUAGACUAUGUUCUUCACUUUCAGCUGGUGUGGAUCUUCAGUUUUGAUGAUCGUUAAUCCUUUGUCGAAAUGUGGUAAAUAGAGUGAGUUUAAAUAUAUGAUUUUUUGUCUUUUAACGUUGGUGUGAAUGAGCAUUUAUUACUGAAUGUUAAUUUUAUGAGUUUUUUAUUCCAAAGUGUUUCAGUUUCGUUGAAGUUUCUAUGUUAGCGGAAGUUUUUAAGUAUUAAUUUCAUUUUUUUAUGUUCACUGGGUUUAGAUUAGCUAUAAACUAUAUAAAACG